AGCGGCAGACGGGUGAGUAACGCGUGGGAACAUACCUUUUGGUUCGGAACAACACAGGGAAACUUGUGCUAAUACCGGAUAAGCCCUUACGGGGAAAGAUUUAUCGCCGAAAGAUUGGCCCGCGUCUGAUUAGCUAGUUGGUGAGGUAACGGCUCACCAAGGCGACGAUCAGUAGCUGGUCUGAGAGGAUGAUCAGCCACAUUGGGACUAAGACACGGCCCAAACUCCUACGGGAGGCAGCAGUGGGGAAUAUUGGACAAUGGGCGCAAGCCUGAUCCAGCCAUGCCGCGUGAGUGAUGAAGGCCCUAGGGUUGUAAAGCUCUUUUGUGCGGGAAGGUAAUGACGGUACCGCAAGAAUAAGCCCCGGCUAACUCCGUGCCAGCAGCCGCGGUAAUACGAAGGGGGCUAGCGUUGCUCGGAAUCACUGGGCGUAAAGGGUGCGUAGGCGGGUCUUUAAGUCAUGGGUGAAAUCCUGGAGCUCAACUCCAGAACUGCCUUUGA
rnacentral:rRNA from 1 species